GACGAACGCUGGCGGCGUGCUUAACACAUGCAAGUCGAGCGGUAAGGCCCUUUCGGGGGUACACGAGCGGCGAACGGGUGAGUAACACGUGGGUGACCUGCCCUCAGCUCUGGGAUAAGCCCGGGAAACUGGGUCUAAUACUGGAUAUGACUCCAUGACGCAUGUUGUGGGGUGGAAAGCCUUGUGCGGCUGAGGAUGGGCCCGCGGCCUAUCAGCUUGUUGGUGGGGUGAUGGCCUACCAAGGCGACGACGGGUAGCCGGCCUGAGAGGGCGACCGGCCACACUGGGACUGAGACACGGCCCAGACUCCUACGGGAGGCAGCAGUGGGGAAUCUUGCGCAAUGGGCGAAAGCCUGACGCAGCGACGCCGCGUGAGGGAUGACGGCCUUCGGGUUGUAAACCUCUUUCAGCUCCGACGAAGCGGAAGUGACGGUAGGAGCAGAAGAAGCA
rnacentral:rRNA from 1 species